rnacentral:lncRNA from 1 species
AUUCAUUUACAAAUUAGACAUGAUUCACAAAUUAAAAUAUGGUUUACAAAAAAAUAUGUUUACAAAUUUAAACCAGUUCACUAAUCUAUCCCUAAUUAAAAAAAAAGAAACUAAACCUACUGAUUUGCUCUGGCUCAACAAGGCAGAAGGCGUGGGGGUUAGCUCUAAAUGGAGGCGGCUGCUUCUCGAGAAAAGACUUUUGAUUCUUCUCAAGCAAUUUCUUACUGCUUCGAGAAGGGCUAUCACGGCUGAGAAGAGGGAAGAUCAAGUUGAAGAGAUACGUGACGCAACCACUGUCUCACUGCUUCGAGUCACACGACGUUCUCUGCCUCUCAUUCAUAGUAUCCUUUAAAAGUGGCUAUAGUUAAGUUAUUCUUUGCAUAUGUAUAUAUGUUUGCAUUCCAUGAGAAAUAAGAAAUGAAAAGAUUACCUUUGACAGGAAGACAAGUAGUUACAGAAGAAAAACAGAGACGGGGAUACUUUGUACAAGCUGUUCCUUCCAUAAAAAUUGCUCUCAGAAACUGUUCUUCUAUCUAGGAGAGUUAUACACGAGUUUUGCAUUGCACAUCCAGAAACUAAAACGAUUAGAUAGAUCACGAGUCAUGCUAUUCGCAAAUACAUAUUAGACCACAAAAGUGGGUCAGCAAAACAAGUGAUAGUUUGAGUAAAGACAAAUCCUCAAAGCCAUAAAAAGUUACAAUGACAAGAUUUGUGAACAACAGUUGCGUAUAUGUGUUUUCUUAAGCAUUGCGUUUCUUUCAACUAAAUGGUUUCGGGCUGUUGCUAUCAACAUUCUGGCAAGUGGCAAUAAGCUCAAUCAUGCAAGUCAUUGUUCAAGAUAUAAAAUUGCCUAACCUUGUCAAGAUUCUGAGCAGUGAGAAGCAACCAACUGAAUCCUAAAUGGACAGUCUUUGUUUUCAUCACCAGCUGAAAAAUGCAAGCAUGUGUUAGAAAAUCAAAUGAAAGCAUGAUGUAAGAUUAGCGCCAAAGUAUAUUUGUUCUAACAACUAAAACAGAACCA